rnacentral:misc_RNA from 1 species
UCUCCGUUGGUGAACCAGCGGAGGGAUCAUUAUUGAGUUCUACAACUCCCUAAACCAUGUGAACAUUACCUCUGUUGCCUCGGCGGGCUCGCCCGCCAGAGGACCCAAACUCUGUCUGUAUCAGAAGCAUGUCUGAGUGGCGCAAGCAAAUCAAAUCAAAACUUUCAACAACGGAUCUCUUGGUUCUGGCAUCGAUGAAGAACGCAGC